CAGCAGCCGCGGUAAUACGAAGGGGGCUAGCGUUGUUCGGAUUUACUGGGCGUAAAGGGCGCGUAGGCGGGCGAAUAAGUCAGGGGUGAAAUCCCAAGGCUCAACCUUGGAACUGCCUUUGAUACUGUUUGUCUUGAGUUCGAGAGAGGUAAGUGGAACUGCGAGUGUAGAGGUGAAAUUCGUAGAUAUUCGCAAGAACACCAGUGGCGAAGGCGGCUUACUGGCUCGAAACUGACGCUGAGGCGCGAAAGCGUGGGGAGCAAACAGGAUUAGAGACCCGGGUAGUCCCUGUCUCUUAUAC
rnacentral:rRNA from 1 species